rnacentral:rRNA from 1 species
UCGGGAAUUUUGGGCAAUGGGCGAAAGCCUGACCCAGCAACGCCGCGUGAAGGAUGAAAUCCCUCGGGAUGUAAACUUCGCAAGAACGGGAAGAAUAAGCGAGAGUUAAUAUCUUUCGUGAUGACGGUACCGUUUGUAAGCUCCGGCUAACUCCGUGCCAGCAGCCGCGGUAAUACGGGGGGAGCAAGCGUUGUUCGGAUUUACUGGGCGUAAAGGGCGCGUAGGCGGCCAGCACAAGUCAGUUGUGAAAUCUCCGAGCUUAACUCGGAAAGGUCAACUGAUACUGUGCGGCUAGAGUGCGGAAGGGGCAACUGGAAUUCUUGGUGUAGCGGUGAAAUGCGUAGAUAUCAAGAGGAACACCUGCGGCGAAGGCGGGUUGCUGGGCCGACACUGACGCUGAGGCGCGAAAGCCAGGGGAGCGAACGG